rnacentral:rRNA from 1 species
GGGUUUUUAUCCGCUAUAGGAUAGGAUCGUGGACGAUUAUGGUUGUUGGUGAGGUAACGGCUCACCAAGCCGAUAAUCGAUAGGGGCCGUGAGAGCGGGAGCCCCGAGAUGGGUACUGAGACAACGACCCAGGCCUUACGAGGCGCAGCAGGCGCGGAACCUCCGCAAUACACGAAAGUGUGACGGGGUUACCCAAAGUGUUCAAUUUUGAACUGUGGUAGGUGAGUAAUGUUCCCUACUAGAAAGGAGAGGGCAAGGCUGGUGCCAGCCGCCGCGGUAAAACCAGCUCUUCAAGUGGUCGGGAUAAUUAUUGGGCUUAAAGUGUCCGUAGCCGGUUUAGUAAGUUCCUGGUAAAAUCGGGUAGCUUAACUAUCUGUAUGCUAGGAAUACUGCUAUACUAGAGGGCGGGAGAGGUCUGAGGUACUACAGGGGUAGGGGUGAAAUCUUAUAAUCCUUGUAGGACCACCAGCGGCGAAGGCGUCAGACUGGAACGCGCCUGACGGUGAGGGACGAAAGCCAGGGGAGCGAACCGGAUUAGAUACCCGGGUAGUCCUGGCCGUAAACGAUGCAUACUAGGUGAUGGUGUGGCCAUGAGCCGUAUCAGUGCCGUAGGGAAACCGUUAAGUGUGCCGCCUGGGAAGUACGGUCGCAAGGCUAAAACUUAAAGGAAUUGGCGGGGGAGCACCACAAGGGGUGAAGCCUGCGGUUCAAUUGGACCCAACGCCGGGAAACUUACCAGGGGAGACAGUAGAAUGAUGGUCAGGUUGACGACCUUACCUAACGAGCUGAGAGGAGGUGCAUGGCCGUCGCCAGUUCGUGCUGUGAGGUAUCCUGUUAAGUCAGGCAACGAACGAGAUCCGCACCUUUAUUUGCCAGCAAGAAGUCACGACUUCGUUGGGAACACUAAAGGGACCGCCGUCGAUAAGACGGAGGAAGGAGCGGGCAAAGGCAGGUCAGUAUGCCCCGAAACCCCUGGGCUACACGCGGGCUGCAAUGGUAUGAACAAUGGGCUGUAACUCCGAAAGGAGAAACCAAUCCCGAAAUCAUAUCUCAGUGGGAAUUGUCGGCUGUAACCCGCUGACAUGAACGUGGAAUCCCUAGUAAUCGUGUGUCAUCAACGCACGGUGAAUACGUCUCUGCUCCUUGCACACACCGCCCGUCGCUCCAUCCGAGUGUGCUAAAAAUGAGGUCUGGUCAUAAUGGUCAUAUCGAGUUUCUAGUAUGCGA